GGAUGUGAGGGCGAUCUGGUUGUGACACCUAUCACCCCAGUGAUCCCCAGGGUUUAUUCGGCUGAUCUGGUUGGCUAGAUGGUGUCCCCUUCCUCUCUCACCACUCCAUGUACAUCCCUCCCAAAGCUGCAUACUCCGUUGAAGAGGACGACCAUCCCCAGUAGAGGAGGGCCAGUCUUCGGUCAAGGGUAUAUGAAUAGCUGUGAUCCCCUGCUAGAGCUUCCAAACAAGCUCCCAAAAGGACAUCUGGCAAAUAAAGAAACAUGUACAGAACUAAUUAUCAGAGAAACACAAGCUGAAACAUUGUGAUAUCACUUUACACAUUUUUGAUUGGCAAAAGCUAGUG
rfam:Macaca mulatta chromosome 3, whole genome shotgun sequence.